AAAAAAACACAUCAGCGUACUAAAGCAAAAGAAGAAGUGACGUGAUGGAUGGCGGCGAGCGAGACGGCGGAAAGACUCCGGAGAUUGACAACGUUUCAGGUGCUCGCCAGACACAUGCCGAGAGAUGCCGGCGGCCAUGAUUUGAACAUUAAUCACAUGAGCGACGCAGCAGCGCAGCGCGCCUCGCGUGCUUGUGGAUGGCAGGUGGCGGCAAAAGUGAAGCAGUUUUGCCGUGGGGGUUGGGUGGAAAGCCAUCAUGCAGAACAG